UGCCAUUCCUCUGUAUCUGUCGACGAUCUUGACACUUCUGGGACGACUGGCGAGGACGCGCUCCCGUGCCACCUUCAGUUCCAGUAGCUGUAGUUUCCUCCGCAAUGUCCUGUUUUCUUUCUGGCUUUGUGUUAUUUCCAAACGAAACACUGCAUAGUCGUCGUCUACGAGUUUACAGAUCUCUGCCACGGCUGCAUUCGCCAGCACCUCCAUGAUGGAGGCUAUUUGAGUGUGAAAAACCAUACAUUUAUCCAUUGUUCGCUAGCCAACGUUAGCAGUUACCGAGAACAAUUAUCAACCAAGUCCCGUCUCCAACGUGAAUUAAACACUACCUGGUGAACAGGAGGGUCUCUCUCUAUCAGCCUCAGGCCCUGCUUCAUCACUGCACUGAGACUGUGAAGAGAAGGGUCUGGGCUGCAGACUGGAUCCCUGACUGGAGCCUCUGUCUCUCUGAUGUCCACCUGUCCACUGGUUGUGUUCUAUGUGGUGGUGGAGUCUCUGUCCCUCGCGGUUCAGACACGGAAACGAAAAGGGACGGCUCCUGAUCCGGGGCCAGUGUUUAUGAUCAGCCGCUUCAGAGGUCCAGUCUCUCCCGCCAUCAACACUGGAUAUCAUGCGUGCAGGUGAAUGGCCUCUAUCCCGUGUGGACCUUCAGGUGCAUCUUCAGCUGGUGCAGGUGGAAGAACACCCUUUCACACCGGGGGCAGCUGUAGGAUUUCUCCCGUGUGAACCCUCUGGUGUCUCUUCAGAUUGAACGAGUGGGAGAAACUAGCCUGGCACAGGUGGCAGCCAAACUGUUACUCCCCCAUGUGCAUCCUCUGGUUGAUCUCCAUGUGUUUGGGAAAACUGAAAGCUUUUCCACAGAAUGAACACGAGAGUCGCUUCUCUUGUGUGUGUUGUAGGGUCCAUGUUCCAGUUGAUAGAUUCUAUAGAAGGCAGGCUGAAGGCAGCACCUGUUAGGGGGUUAACCUGAGGCCCCAUCAGUCUCUCUGAAUCACAACUAUAGGAGCAGGACGGAGCACCACUAGCAGAGAGGCGACUACAGGAUGCUGGCCCUCUAGGCAGAGUUGCAAAGAAAAAGCCAUAUCUUAGACUGGCCAAUAAAAAGAAAAGAUUAAGAUGGGCAAAAGAACACAGACACUGGACAGAGGAACUCUGCCUAGAAGGCCAACAUCCU